AAUCCAUGAUGAGGGCAUUGAGCUUGGUAGCCUUUGAAUCUCUCUCAGGCUUCACUGAAUCCUUCCAAGCCUUUCUGUUGAAAGCUGGAGAUCUCAUUUCUCAGCUU
rnacentral:snoRNA from 1 species